UAAAAGGGCCUUUGUCGUGACUGGCACGUUUCCCUCCUUGGAGGGUUACGCGGAAUCGCAAGCAAGAGAUUUCGGAGGCAUAAUUUAUGCAAUCCGGCGGCAGUUGGUUGUCCCUUCGACCCGACGCCCCU
rnacentral:snRNA from 1 species